AGAGUUUGAUCCUGGCUCAGGACGAACGCUGGCGGCGCGCCUAACACAUGCAAGUCGAACGGAGCUUAAAGAGCUUGCUUUUUAAGCUUAGUGGCGAACGGGUGAGUAACGCGUGAGUAACCUGCCCUGGAGUGGGGGACAACAGUUGGAAACGACUGCUAAUACCGCAUAAGCCCACGGCCCGGCAUCGGGCUGCGGGAAAAGGAUUUAUUCGCUUCAGGAUGGACUCGCGUCCAAUUAGCUAGUUGGUGAGGUAACGGCCCACCAAGGCGACGAUUGGUAGCCGGACUGAGAGGUUGAACGGCCACAUUGGGACUGAGACACGGCCCAGACUCCUACGGGAGGCAGCAGUGGGGAAUAUUGCACAAUGGGGGAAACCCUGAUGCAGCGACGCCGCGUGGAGGAAGAAGGUUUUCGGAUUGUAAACUCCUGUCGUUAGGGACGAUAAUGACGGUACCUAACAAGAAAGCACCGGCUAACUACGUGCCAGCAGCCGCGGUAAAACGUAGGGUGCAAGCGUUGUCCGGAAUUACUGGGUGUAAAGGGAGCGCAGGCGGACCGGCAAGUUGGAAGUGAAAACUAUGGGCUCAACCCAUAAAUUGCUUUCAAAACUGUUGGCCUUGAGUAGUGCAGAGGUAGGUGGAAUUCCCGGUGUAGCGGUGGAAUGCGUAGAUAUCGGGAGGAACACCAGUGGCGAAGGCGACCUACUGGGCACCAACUGACGCUGAGGCUCGAAAGCAUGGGUAGCAAACAGGAUUAGAUACCCUGGUAGUCCAUGCCGUAAACGAUGAUUACUAGGUGUUGGAGGAUUGACCCCUUCAGUGCCGCAGUUAACACAAUAAGUAAUCCACCUGGGGAGUACGACCGCAAGGUUGAAACUCAAAGGAAUUGACGGGGGCC
rnacentral:rRNA from 1 species